AGAGUUUGAUCCUGGCUCAGGACGAACGCUGGCGGCGUGCCUAAUACAUGCAAGUCGAGCGAACUCUUGGUGAUCUUCGGAUCACCUGGGGUUAGCGGCGGACGGGUGAGUAACACGUAGGCAACCUGCCUGUAAGACUGGGAUAACUACCGGAAACGGUAGCUAAUACCGGAUAGGCUUCUCCCUCACCUGAGGGAGAA
rnacentral:rRNA from 1 species